CUUUUUGGGGAGUCAGAGCCGGCAACGGGGUGAGGAGUAGCCUAUCUCGAUAUUUUGCUUUUAUUUAAUGAUCCACGAGACAUCACAGAGUCAAGUAUGUGGCUAUCUUCAUUCAUUCACUCUAUUGGUAACAUUUCUAUGGCGUCUGAGGUCCCAAUGGUGUUGUUGUUUGAGUGAAAUCAUGAAAAACAGCAUUCAUUCACUCUACUAGUAACAUUUCUGUGGCGUCUGAGGUCCCAAUGGUGUUGUUGUUUGAGUGAAAUCAUGAAAAACAGCAUUCAUUCACUCUACUAGUAACAUUUCUGUGGCGUCUGAGAUCCCAAUGGUGUUGUUGUUUGAGUGAAAUCGUGAAAAACAGCAUUCAUUCACUCUACUAGUAACAUUUCUGUGGCGUCUGAGGUCUCAAUGGUGUUGUUGUUUGAGUGAAAUCAUGAAAAACAGCAUUCAUUCACUCUACUAGUAACAUUUCUGUGGCGUCUGAGGUCCCAAUGGUGUUGCUGUUUGUGUGAAAUCGUGAAAAACGACCACAAAUUCGCAUCACAGCAAAAAUGACACCAGUAAUUUAAGUUUUGCCACCAUGAAAUAUACACAGAUCGAUAUUUAUGAAAGCUCACAAGUCGGGCCAAAUUACAUCAUCUGCUUUGCGCAAUAAAACUAUGCUAUUUGUGGUAUCUGACACCCGCGAAAUGGCGUAUAGGCUGGGUCGGGCCUACGCGCUGCACCCUCAACGAUGCCAGAUUGUUGUACUCAGCGAUGUCCCACCCCUAAACUGUCUUCUGAGCUCCGAUAUCAAAACUCAUUUACAGUUAUCGUUAAAAGACUUCGAUCCUGAUGUUUCUUGGCAAUAGUUACGCGUCGGAAACCAGUAAUACUCCGCUCUGAAUACGCUGACCUGGUGACGGGGUUAGAGGCGUUUUCGUAUUGUUUUCUUGUUUAUUCAAUGUUCUGCUCAAGAAAACGGAUACCCAUGAUUUUUGAGUAAGUUUUUGGUCGUAAGGAUACUUUACGAAAUACAAUUAUAACUAUAUCCCACUAGUUAGGAAAUGUACGUAAUCCUGGAUCGGCUACAGUGAUGUUAGAUGUGCCUAUUUACAUAUCAGGAAAGGUCUGUGAAUGUCUCUCGUAACAGCAAGAUAUCCGCACUUCCCUUCCCUUCGCUAAAUUAUACAUAACAGAAAGAACAUUACCAAUAACAUAUCAGGGAACGUCACUGAACAAUCUCUGGUAACAGCAAGAUAUCCGCACUUCCCUUCCCUUCGCUAAAUUAUACAUAACAGAAAGAACAUUACCA